rnacentral:rRNA from 1 species
GAUGAACGCUGGCGGCGUGCUUAACACAUGCAAGUCGAACGAUGAAGCCCAGCUUGCUGGGUGUAUUAGUGGCGAACGGGUGAGUAACACGUGAGUAACCUGCCCUUAACUCUGGGAUAAGCCUGGGGAACUGGGUCUAAUACCGGAUAGGAGCGUCCACCGCAUGGUGGGUGUUGGGAAGAUUUAUCGGUUUUGGAUGGACUCGCGGCCUAUCAGCUUGUUGGUGAGGUAAUGGCUCACCAAGGCGACGACGGGUAGCCGGCCUGAGAGGGUGACCGGCCACACUGGGACUGAGAUACGGCCCAGACUCCUACGGGAGGCAGCAGUGGGGAAUAUUGCACAAUGGGCGCAAGCCUGAUGCAGCGACGCCGCGUGAGGGAUGACGGCCUUCGGGUUGUAAACCUCUUUCAGUAGGGACGAAGCGAGAGUGACGGUACCUGCAGAAGAAGCACCGGCUAACUACGUG